ACCUCAGCUCAAGCAAGAAAACCCGCUGAACUUAAGCAUAUCAAUAAGCGGAGGAAAAGAAACUAACAAGGAUUCCCCNUAGUAACGGCGAGUGAAAGAGGGAAAAGCUCAAAUUKUWAAAUCUACCUGGUUCCCAGGUCGAAUUGUAUUUUUGAAGAAUCGAUAUCGGUGUUGAGGUCUGGUUCAAAGUUCUUUGGAACAAGACAUCAUGGARGGUGAGAAUCCCGUGCAUGAUCAGACCAAGAUACUUUAUAUUCGUUUUCUAAGAGUCGAGUUGUUUGGGAAUGCAGCUCAAAUUGGGGUGGUAGACUUCACCUAAGGCUAAAUAUCAGCGAGAGACCGAUAGCGAACAAGUACUGUGAAGGAAAGAUGAAAAGCACUUUGAAAAGAGAGUUAAAUAGUACGUGAAAUUGUUGAAAGGGAAACGAUUGAAGUCAGUCAUGCUAGUGAAAAUUCAGUUUGGCGGGUUUUGGGUUUWGGAGUAAGAGAUAGGGUCAAACCAUCUCUCUUUUAAACUUGGGUUUUGUCGGAUGCACUUUUUCUUUGGCAGGUCAGCGUCGAUUUCGGGGGUUGUAAAAUACUUGGGGGAAAGUAGCUCUGCUUCGGGAGAGUGUUAUAGACCUUGGGAGAUGCAGCCCGUGGGAUCGAGGAUUGCAGCAAAUGCCUUUGGCUUGUCUUCUGAUCUUUGAUUGUUACCUCGUUUAUGACAACAUUCUUGCCAUCGAUGAGUASUAGUGGUUAUGGGUUAGAAUGAUCARWAAUUUGCUA
rnacentral:rRNA from 1 species